rnacentral:rRNA from 1 species
GGGUUGUGAGGUUAAGCGACUAAGCGUACACGGUGGAUGCCCUGGCAGUCAGAGGCGAUGAAGGACGUGCUAAUCUGCGAUAAGCGCCGGUAAGGUGAUAUGAACCGUUAUAACCGGCGAUUUCCGAAUGGGGAAACCCAGUGUGACUCGUCACACUAUCAUUAACUGAAUCCAUAGGUUAAUGAGGCGAACCGGGGGAACUGAAACAUCUAAGUACCCCGAGGAAAAGAAAUCAACCGAGAUUCCCCCAGUAGCGGCGAGCGAACGGGGAGGAGCCCAGAGCCUGAAUCAGCAUGUGUGUUAGUGGAAGCGUCUGGAAAGGCGCGCGAUACAGGGUGACAGCCCCGUACACAAAAGCGCAUGUGCUGUGAGCUCGAUGAGUAGGGCGGGACACGUGGUAUCCUGUCUGAAUAUGGGGGGACCAUCCUCCAAGGCUAAAUACUCCUGACUGACCGAUAGUGAACCAGUACCGUGAGGGAAAGGCGAAAAGAACCCCGGCGAGGGGAGUGAAAAAGAACCUGAAACCGUGUACGUACAAGCAGUGGGAGCCCCACCACCAAAGCAUUCUCUGGUGUUGAAGGCCCUGCAAAGCAGCAUCGCGGUGGCGGAGCGUCGUUUGCGACGCCCAACACACAAAACAAGCGGUGAGUGCUUUGGGGUGGGGUGACUGCGUACCUUUUGUAUAAUGGGUCAGCGACUUAUAUUCUGUAGCAAGGUUAACCGUAUAGGGGAGCCGUAGGGAAACCGAGUCUUAACCGGGCGUUAAGUUGCAGGGUAUAGACCCGAAACCCGGUGAUCUAGCCAUGGGCAGGUUGAAGGUUGGGUAACACUAACUGGAGGACCGAACCGACUAAUGUUGAAAAAUUAGCGGAUGACCUGUGGCUGGGGGUGAAAGGCCAAUCAAACCGGGAGAUAGCUGGUUCUCCCCGAAAGCUAUUUAGGUAGCGCCUCGUGAACUCAUCUCCGGGGGUAGAGCACUGUUUCGGCUAGGGGGCCAUCCCGGCUUACCAACCCGAUGCAAACUGCGAAUACCGAAGAAUGUUAUCACGGGAGACACACGGCGGGUGCUAACGUCCGUCGUGAAGAGGGAAACAACCCAGACCGCCAGCUAAGGUCCCAAAGUCACAGUUAAGUGGGAAACGAUGUGGGAAGGCUCAGACAGCCAGGAUGUUGGCUUAGAAGCAGCCAUCAUUUAAAGAAAGCGUAAUAGCUCACUGGUCGAGUCGGCCUGCGCGGAAGAUGUAACGGGGCUAAACUGUGCACCGAAGCUGCGGCAGCGACGCUUAUGCGUUGUUGGGUAGGGGAGCGUUCUGUAAGCCUGCGAAGGUGUCCUGUGAGGGAUGCUGGAGGUAUCAGAAGUGCGAAUGCUGACAUAAGUAACGAUAAUGCGGGUGAAAAGCCCGCUCGCCGGAAGACCAAGGGUUCCUGUCCAACGUUAAUCGGGGCAGGGUGAGUCGACCCCUAAGGCGAGGCCGAAAGGCGUAGUCGAUGGGAAACGGGUUAAUAUUCCCGUA